AACGGCCAUACCAUGCUGAAAACAUCGGUUCUUGUUCGACGACCGAAGUUAAGCAUCAUUGGGCGCUGUCAGUAAUUGGGAGGGUAACCACCUGGCAACACCGCGUGCCGUU